UGGGGAAUAUUGCACAAUGGGCGCAAGCCUGAUGCAGCCAUGCCGCGUGUGUGAAGAAGGCCUCGGUUGUAAAGCACUUCAGCGAGGAGGAAGGUGGUGAACUUAAUACGUUCAUCAAUUGACGUUACUCGCAGAAGAAGCACCGGCUAACUCCGUGCCAGCAGCCGCGGUAAUACGGAGGGUGCAAGCGUUAAUCGGAAUUACUGGGCGUAAAGCGCACGCAGGCGGUUUGUUAAGUCAGAUGUGAAAUCCCCGGGCUCAACCUGGGGACUGCAUUUGAAACUGGCAAGCUAGAGUCUCGUAGAGGGGGUAGAAUUCCAGGUGGUAGCGGUGAAAUGCGUAGAGAUCUGGAAGGAAUACCGGUGGCGAAGGCGGCCCCCUGGACGAAGACUGACCGCUCAGGUGCGAAAGCGUGGGGAGCAAAACAGGAUUAGGAUAACCCUGGUAGUCCACGCUGUAAACGAUGUCGAUUUUGGAGGUUGUGCCCUUGAGGCGUGGCUUCCGGAGCUAACGCGUUAAAUCGACCGCCUGGGGAGUACGGCCGCAAGGUUAAAACUCAAAGGAAUUGACGGGGUCAUAGCUGUUU
rnacentral:rRNA from 1 species